rnacentral:rRNA from 1 species
UACGGAGGAUCCAAGCGUUAUCCGGAAUUACUGGGCGUAAAGAGUUGCGUAGGUGGCAUAGUAAGCAAGCAGUGAAAGGUCACGGCUCAACCGUGGAUACAUCGUUUGAACUACUAAGCUAGAGGACAAGAGAGGUAGCUGGAAUUCCUAGUGGAGGAGUGAAAUCCGUAGAUAUUAGGAGGAACACCGAUGGCGUAGGCAGGCUACUGGCUUGUUCCUGACACUGAGGCACGAAAGCGUGGGGAGCGAACGGG